UACGGAGGGUGCAAGCGUUAUCCGGAUUCACUGGGCUUAAAGGGUGCGUAGGUGGGCAGGUAAGUCAGUGGUGAAAUCUCCGGGCUUAACCCGGAAACUGCCAUUGAUACUAUCAGUCUUGAAUACCGUAGAGGUAAGCGGAAUAUGUCAUGUAGCGGUGAAAUGCUUAGAUAUGACAUAGAACACCAAUUGCGAAGGCAGCUGGCUAGACGAAUAUUGACACUGAUGCACGAAAGCGUGGGGAUCAAACAGG
rnacentral:rRNA from 1 species